GACAGAGGUGGCAAGCGUUGGUCGGAAUUACUGGGCGUAAAGAGUCUGUAGGUGGUUUGUCAAGUCUUUGGUGAAAGGCCGUAGCUUAACUAUGGGAAUGCCAAAGAGACUGGCAGGCUGGAGGCUGGGAGAGGGAAGCGGAAUUUCUGGUGUAGCGGUGAAAUGCGUAGACAUCAGAAGGAAGGCCGGUGGCGAAGGCGGCUUCCUGGAACAGUCCUGACCCUGAGACACGAAAGCGUGGGGAGCAAACAGG
rnacentral:rRNA from 1 species